rnacentral:rRNA from 1 species
UAUGUGGUUUAAUUCGAUGCAACGCGAAGAACCUUACCUGGUCUUGACAUCCCGGAGACCCUUAGGAAACUAGGGGGUGGCUUCCAUCUGGAAGAAUCUGGAGACAGGUGCUGCAUGGCUGUCGUCAGCUCGUGUCGUGAGAUGUUGGGUUAAGUCCCGCAACGAGCGCAACCCUUGCCUUUAGUUGCCAGCAGUUCGGCUGGGCACUCUAAAGGGACUGCCGGUGUUAAACCGGAGGAAGGUGGGGAUGACGUCAAGUCCUCAUGGCCUUUAUGACCAGGGCUACACACGUACUACAAUGGCCGAUACAAAGGGCAGCGACACUGCGAGGUGAAGCCAAUCCCGUAAAAUCGGUCUCAGUCCGGAUUGGAGUCUGCAACUCGACUCCAUGAAGUUGGAAUCGCUAGUAAUCGUGGAUCAGCAUGCCACGGUGAAUACGUUCCCGGGCCUU